rfam:Streptomyces sp. MBRL 601 scaffold00713, whole genome shotgun sequence.
CGUCGGUGAUGCCGGGGCUGAUGAAGUGGAUGUGGGUGUCGAUGCCGCCGGCGGUGAGGAUCUUGCCGUUGCCCGCGAUGAUCUCGGUCUCGGGGCCGAUGACCAGCUCGGGGUGGACGCCGUCCAUGGUGUCCGGGUUCCCGGCCUUGCCGAGCGCGGUGAUCCGCCCGUCGCGGAUGCCGACGUCGGCCUUGACGAUCCCCCAGUGGUCGAGGACGACGACGCCGGUGAUGACGGUGUCGGGGGCGCCCUCGGCGCGGGUGGUGCGGGACUGGCCCAUCGACUCGCGGAUG